UACGUACUGGGCGAACGUUAUUCGGAAUCACUGGGCUUAAAGGGUGCGUAGGCGGCCAGCUUAGUCAGGUGUGAAAGCCCCCGGCUCAACCGGGGAAUGGCGCUUGAGACUGGCUGGCUUGAGUGAGAUAGGGGUGUGUGGAACUUCCGGUGGAGCGGUGAAAUGUGUUGAUAUCGGAAGGAACGCCGGCGGCGAAAGCGACACACUGGGUCUCAACUGACGCUGAGGCACGAAAGCCAGGGGAGCGAACGGG
rnacentral:misc_RNA from 1 species